rnacentral:lncRNA from 1 species
CUCACAUACCACUCGUCAGAGACGCUGUCCACGAGCUCACUCGCUCCAACCCGGUUCGGCUCGCUGGGUUCGUUGUUGAUAUGUUCUGCACCCACAUGAUUGAUGUGGCCGAUGAGUUUGGGGUGCCUUCCUAUCUCUUCUUCCCUCCCAGCGCUGCUUUUCUUGGCUUCCUGUUGCAUCUGCAGUUCCUCCAUGAUUAUGAGGGCUUGGAUAUUAAUGAGUUCAAGGACUCGGAUGCUGAGUUGGAGGUUCCAAGUUUUGCUAACUCAGUUCCGGGUAAGGCCUUUCCUUCUUUGAUGAUUGACAAGGAAAGUAGAGGGGCCGAGAUGCUUCUUCAUCACACGAGGAGAUUCAGACACGUCAAGGGUAUUCUGAUAAAUACAUUUAUUGAGCUUGAAUCACAUGCUAUUCAAUCACUUUCUGGCAGUACAGUACCCGUAGUGUAUCCGGUUGGACCCAUACUCAACACCAGAAGGGGAUCUGAUGGGGGUCAACAAGAUGCUAGUGCCAUCAUGAGCUGGCUUGAUGAUCAGCCUCCAUCAUCCGUGGUUUUCCUGUGCUUCGGGAGCAUGGGAAGCUUUGGUGCGGAUCAAAAUCAAGGAGAUAUCACAUGCGUUAGAGCACAGUGGGCAUCGCUUCUUGUGGUCCCUUCACCAACCUCCCCCAAAGGGUAAAGUGAUUACAAGCGACUAUGAAAAUAUUGAGGAAGUUCUACCAGAAGGAUUUUUACAUCGGACGGCUAGAAUUGGAGGGGCUCCACAAAUAGCGGUUUUAGCCCACUCAGCUGUUGGAGGAUUUGUAUCUCAUUGUGGAUGGAAUUCUUUGCUAGAAAGCAUAUUGUACGGUGUUCCAGUAGCCACAUGGCCAAUAUAUGCAGAACAACAAAUCAACGCAUUUCAAAUGGUGAAAGAUUUGGGGUUGGCGGUAGAAAUUAAAAUUGAUUACAAUAAGGAUCGUGAUCAUAUUGUAAGUGCUCAUGAGAUUGAAAAUGGAUUAAGGAACCUAAUGAAUACUAAUUUUAUUAAAGACAUGGUGGCCAACAUUCCAUGCAAGCAACAAAGACGUGACACCUAAUGUAUGAAUUAUUUUAUAAAAGGUGCAUUGCAGGCUCUAAUAAAUUAAUUUAUCAUAUGCUUUAUUUUAAUGUUCAAAUAAUUUCUUUAAUAAAGUCAAGAAAUUUGACCUUUCAAACUAGGAAAUGUGCUAUCUCUUUAUUAUUUAGUAAAACAAGUUUACAAGGGAAUGAAUUUAGUCAUAUGUCGAUCUCAUUGAUCAAUGAAUACACAAUUGAGCAUUUUCCGGUACUAGUAAUAAAAUUAACUAUAUAAUUAAAAAUCAACAAACCCUAUUGGUUUGAGACAAUCUUCAUAAGUGUUUUUUCUAAAUAUUUUUUAUAUUCUUAUGUGAUUGAAUAUAUUUUGGAUUAUGACUUAUAUGAUUUCUCACAUUUCUAAUCAAAAGCAAUAAUUAAAUCCCAAUAAUCAACCUAUAUGAUAACGGAAUCAGUUUAAAAGUUACUAAUUUAAUAUAUCCUAUUUAUGUACAAAAAAUUGUGAGUAUUGUCCCGAAAUAUGUUUCUAAUAUCAACAUAACAUUUCUUCCUCAUUUUGUUUGGCUAAUGAAAAACCAUUAGAAAAAAAAUAUAUAGAUAUUUGAUUAAAAUGAUUAAAAUAGUCUCUAAUUCGAACAAUGCUCUUUUUUAAAAAAAAAAACAAUAUCGAAAAUGAUAAUAUUUUUUUAAUAAAAAUAUCAUUCAUUUAUGUUAAAGCAAUUUGAAAAAAAGAUAUUUUUAUUCAUUUAUAUUUUUUAUUAAUAAAAAUAUCAUUCAUUUAUGUCAAAGCAUUUUUUUUAUUUAUAAGUAUUAAUAUAUUUUUAUUCAUUUAUAAUUUUUAUUUAGAACUUUAAACCAAUAGAAGAUGGCUUUACAAAUUUUGGCCCAAAGAUCCCCAAGAACUUUAUUUGAAAGGUGUAGCAUAUUCGAACCCUUCGUCCAGGGAACAUGAAUCAUAAUUUCGUUGCUGGUUUUAUAUUAAAAUACAUGGGAUACAUCGAGAAACCCACUUUUGCCUCAAUUUUCAACCAAGACCAACCACAAUCAUAGAAAAACGAUAAGGAAAAUAAAUUGAACCAGCAAAGCCCUGACAUCACUUCCUUUGUCCUCCAAUACUAUCCAGCCACAAGUAUAAGAGUGUCACACCACUGCAAAGCCCUCAAAACAUCCCAUUUUUCCUCUCUUUGCAGUAACUGCUAGUUAGUGAUGGAGCAAACUGAGCUGGUCUUCAUCCCAUUUCCUAUCAUCGGCCACCUUACGUCUGCACUGGAGAUUGCAAAGCUGAUUACUCAGCGAGACCCCCGAUUCUCAAUCACGAUCAUCAUCAUGAAGUUUCCGUUUGAGUCCAUUGAUGGUAUGGACACGGACUCUGAUUCCAUACGUUUCGUUACACUUCCUCCUGUAGAGGUCGGCUCCAGUACCACGCCGUCUGGUUUCUUCCUCUCUGAACUCCUCAAAGCUCACAUCCCAGUCGUCAGAGACGCCAUCCACGAGCUCACUCGCUCCAACUCGGUUCGUCUCGCAGGGUUCGUUAUUGAUAUGUUCUGCACCCACAUGAUUGAUGUGGCCAAUGAGUUUGGGGUGCCUUCCUAUCUCUUCUUCACUUCCAGCGCUGCUUUUCUUGGCUUCCUGUUGCAUCUUCAGUUCCUCCAUGAUUAUGAGGGCUUGGAUUUCAAUGAGUUCAAGGACUCGGAUGCUGAGUUGGAUGUUCCGAGUUUC